ACUCUAAGUAUGUCAUACAGUAUUUUAGUGGAAUGGCACAGUGUUUACGGCAGUCUGUUUUUAAAUUAGGUAGGCAAGCUGGACUGCUGAAAGCUACUCUGAAAUUUCUCCCUGGAUCGUGGGCAUUUUCCUUGUCUAUGCUUACCUAGAAAGCUAUGAAGCAGGCUUGGUUCUAGCACUAGUGGGGUUUCCAGAGGGGAUGCUGCCCCUCAGGGCGGGGGGCUCUGUCUGAAAUGGUAGGAUAAGUCCUAAGAAGAAACUUGUAAGGAGCUAAGAAGGCAAACCCACCACUUCGUCUUCCUCAGGAGAAAUCGCAGAUACAGAAAGAUCUAUGGAGAAUUGAAGAUGUCACUGCAGGCCUGAGUGCAAAUAAAGAGAACUUCAGAAUUCUAGUGGAGUCAGUAAAAAAUCCGGAGAGAAAAACGGUGCCUUUGUUUCCUCACCCGCCUGUGCCUUCACUCUCAACUUCUGAGAGCAAGCCGCCCCCACAGCCCAGUCCUCCCACCAGCCCUGUGCGGACCCCUCUGGAGGUUCGACUCUUCCCCCAGCUGCAAACCUACGUGCCGUACCGACCUCACCCACCCCAGCUGAGGAAAGUGACAUCCCCCCUUCAGUCACCAACUAAGGCGAAGCCCAAAGUUCAGGAAGAUGAAGCACCUCCCAGGCCCCCACU
rnacentral:sRNA from 1 species